CGGACGGGUGAGUAACGCGUGAGAACCUGGCUCUAGGUCUGGGACAACCACUGGAAACGGUGGCUAAUACCGGAUGUGCCGAGAGGUGAAAGGUUAACUGCCUAGAGAUGAGCUCGCGUCCGAUUAGCUAGUUGGAAGUGUAAUGGACUCCCAAGGCGACGAUCAGUAGCUGGUCUGAGAGGACGAUCAGCCACACUGGGACUGAGACACGGCCCAGACUCCUACGGGAGGCAGCAGUGGGGAAUUUUCCGCAAUGGGCGAAAGCCUGACGGAGCAAUACCGCGUGAGGGAGGAAGGCUCUUGGGUCGUAAACCUCUUUUCUCAGGGAAGAACAAAAUGACGGUACCUGAGGAAUAAGCAUCGGCUAACUCCGUGCCAGCAGCCGCGGUAAUACGGAGGAUGCAAGCGUUAUCCGGAAUGAUUGGGCGUAAAGCGUCCGCAGGUGGCUAUGUAAGUCUGCUGUUAAAGAGUCUAGCUCAACUAGAUAAGAGCAGUGGAAACUACAAGGCUAGAAUACGUUCGGGGCAGAGGGAAUUCCUGGUGUAGCGGUGAAAUGCGUAGAGAUCAGGAAGAACACCGGUGGCGAAGGCGCUCUGCUAGGCCGUAACUGACACUGAGAGACGAAAGCUAGGGGAGCAAAUGGGAUUAGAUACCCCAGUAAUC
rnacentral:rRNA from 1 species